AGUGCAGACUCGAUUAUGUUUCUAUGGCGACCUUCAGUUUGAGUGCGAGCGUUGGAGAAGCAGGGACAGCUUGUGGCAAUCGCCGACUUCUUCGGAAUGGACGCAGCAGCAGCAGGAACCGACUUUGAGCACGGAGGGAUGGAGUGGGGUUGUACUCGGUGAGGGAGUUGCUUUGCUUGAUCACAUUCGAGCGUGGAGAGAAGCGGCGGUGGGAGUUGGAUCUGGCUCCUCAAUCAAAUGACAGCAGCAACAACAUGAUUAUGGUCAACCAUCUGUUUCUCCAUAUUCUCAAAGUUAUCCUGUGCGGCAUUCGUCUCCUGUGGGAUAGCUACACUCGUCAAGAUUAUGCCGUGACUUUCUUCUUCUUCUUUUCUUUUUUUUUUUUUGUAGGAAUUGGUGAUUUUGCACGCAUCCAUUGAAAAGUCGUGGAGUUUUUUUUUCAUAUAGAAGUUUUAUGUUGCCCCAACUUCAACUAUUGUUCGAGUGCAUUCAACCGAGGAAUUUCGCUGAUACAAAUUGAUGGAGUGCAUUCAACCGAAGAAUUUUGCUGAUACAAAUUCGAGGGAUUUCUUCAUCUACUCAUCGGAGCUUCUCAAUAUGGAUUGGAUGAUGUUUACCUUGCACCUUUAGGUGGCUCUCAAUUGGCAUUUAUUCAGAUUCUGGGUGCGCUCGAAUCUGGGCCAUUGUGAGUCUUGCCUUUAAAGAUUGCUGGUUACAUCUUUCUCAUUGCGUGCUUCUAUGUGGACUAGAUGACUCAAUUCUUUAAUAGGUCUUGGGUGCGCUCGGACCUAGGAUUGCUCGAGUCUAGUUCCAAUGGAGUUGUUACUUUUGGCGAGCGCGUGCUUCCACUCCGCUACUACCGGUUCAAGGAGUUGUUACUUUUGGUGAGCGCUUGCUUCUACUCCAUUCCGAGGCGUCAUAAAGCUCAAAGCUCGAUACAUACGUUGGAAGCAAG
rnacentral:lncRNA from 1 species